UUGAACAGACCAAUCCAAUAAUGAUUCGAGUAGACACUAAAGCAGGACAUGGUAUGGGAAAACCCACAGCCAAAAUUAUAGAGGAGCUGACAGAUAUUUACAGUUUCAUUAUACAGACAGUAGGAGGCAGUUGGAGGGAAUAACAUCAGCCUUACUUUAGAAAUUCAAAUUGUGGUGGAACUAAUGAACAAUGCAUAGAAUGUUCCAGCAAAAUUAUAAAAGCAUAUAGACAUGGAGUAAAUAAAGCAAACAGAACAUAAUAUUUUUAAUUUAAAGUUAUUUAAGAUAAAAAUAAAGAAUAACACAAUA